UACGUAGGGGGCGAGCGUUGUCCGAAGUUACUGGGCGUAAAGCGCGCGUAGGCGGGGGAUUAAGUGAGAGGUGAAAGGCUGGGGCUCAACCUCAUGCAGUGCCUCUCAUACUGGUUCUCUUGAGGGCGGUAGGGAGAAGUGGAAUGGCUGGUGUAGCGGUGAAAUGCGUAGAUAUCGAGAGGAACACCUGCGGCGAAGGCGGGUUGCUGGGCUGAUACUGACGCUGAGGCGCGAAAGCCAGGGGAGCGAACGGG
rnacentral:rRNA from 1 species